GACGUAGGAUGCAAGCGUUGUCCGGAAUUAUUGGGCGUAAAGAGUUCGUAGGCGGUUAAAUAAGUCUGGUGUUAAAUACUGGAGCUCAACUCCAGCAUGGCAUUGGAAACUGUUUAGCUAGAGUGCGGUAGAGGUCUCGGGAAUUCCAGGUGUAGCGGUGAAAUGCGUAGAUAUCUGGAGGAACACCGGUGGCGAAAGCGCGAGACUGGGCCGUAACUGACGCUGAGGAACGAAAGCUAGGGUAGCGAAAGGG
rnacentral:rRNA from 1 species